CACUCCUGCGGGAGGCAGCAGUGGGGAAUUUUGGACAAUGGGCGAAAGCCUGAUCCAGCAAUGCCGCGUGAGUGAAGAAGGCCUUCGGGUUGUAAAGCUCUUUUGUCAGGGAAGAAACGGUGAAAGCUAAUAUCUUUUGCUAAUGACGGUACCUGAAGAAUAAGCACCGGCUAACUACGUGCCAGCAGCCGCGGUAAUACGUAGGGUGCAAGCGUUAAUCGGAAUUACUGGGCGUAAAGCGUGCGCAGGCGGUUUUGUAAGUCUGAUGUGAAAUCCCCGGGCUCAACCUGGGAAUUGCAUUGGAGACUGCAAGGCUAGAAUCUGGCAGAGGGGGGUAGAAUUCCACGUGUAGCAGUGAAAUGCGUAGAUAUGUGGAGGAACACCGAUGGCGAAGGCAGCCCCCUGGGUCAAGAUUGACGCUCAUGCACGAAAGCGUGGGGAGCAAACAGGAUUAGAUACCCUUGUAGUCCCAU
rnacentral:rRNA from 1 species